UGCUUUGAGCAAACUGUGACAUUUCGAGUACUAAUGCCACAGCAUAGGUAAAAUUAAUUAAACAAAUUAAUUAAAAUUUUUACAAAAUACAAACAUAAAAUUUUCUUUCUUAAAAUAAAACAUAAUUUUUAUCCAAAAUAACACUAACACAAAUUUAAGCCAAAUAACACACCAUGACAUAUUCCCCCCUACUCUUAUAUGUUUGUCCCCAAACAUGAUAUAAACAUUUACAUAGUAACACCCUAAAAUAUCUCAAUACACUCUUUAUAAACUAUAUUUAUAACCUGGCGCCAAAAAUAUAUACAUAUAUCAACAACAAUUUAUUCCAACUUGCUAGCUUCCAGCAACCUUUAUUCCUUGUAUAAGGAAAUUUUAACAGAUGAUGAAUAAUAAAAACAUUUCAGUAAUCCAAAAUUCAAAUUGAUGUAGUGAAAAGAACCAACAGGCGUGCACUCCUACUAGUUCCUAGAACCACAAAAAAAUAAAGAUAGAAACCGAAAGUUUUUCUA
rnacentral:lncRNA from 1 species